rnacentral:rRNA from 1 species
AUGAAUGCUGGCGGCGUGCCUAAUACCUGCAAGUCGAGCGAACGGACGAGAAGCUUGCUUUUCUGAUGUUAGCGGCGGACGGGUGAGUAACACGUGGAUAACCUACCUAUAAGACUGGGAUAACUUCGGGAAACCGGAGCUAAUACCGGAUAAUAUUUUGAACCGCAUGGUUCAAAAGUGAAAGACGGUCUUGCUGUCACUUAUAGAUGGAUCCGCGCUGCAUUAGCUAGUUGGUAAGGUAACGGCUUACCAAGGUAACGAUGCAUAGCCGACCUGAGAGGGUGAUCGGCCACACUGGAACUGAGACACGGCCCAGACUCCUACGGGAGGCAGCAGUAGGGAAUCUUCCGCAAUGGGCGAAAGCCUGACGGAGCAACGCCGCGUGAGUGAUGAAGGUCUUCGGAUCGUAAAACUCUGUUAUUAGGGAAGAACAUAUGUGUAAGUAACUGUGCACAUCUUGACGGUACCUAAUCAGAAAGCCACGGCUAACUACGUG